UACGUAGGGGGCAAGCGUUGUCCGGAUUUAUUGGGCGUAAAGAGCGUGUAGGCGGCCAGAUAAGUCCGCUGUGAAAACUCGAGGCUCAACCUCGAGACGUCGGUGGAAACCGUUUGGCUAGAGUCCGGAAGAGGAGAGUGGAAUUCCCGGUGUAGCGGUGAAAUGCGCAGAUAUCGGGAAGAACACCCGUGGCGAAGGCGGCUCUCUGGGACGGUACUGACGCUGAGACGCGAAAGCGUGGGGAGCGAACAGG
rnacentral:rRNA from 1 species